AGGGUUUGAUUAUGGCUCAGGAUGAACGCUGGCGGCAUGCCUAAGACAUGCAAGUCGAACGAAAUUUAUAUAAUGAAAAUGGAGUGCUUGCACAAAGUUGGAUUUAUAUAAAUUUAGUGGCGGACGGGUGAGUAACACGUGGGUGACCUACCUUUUUGUUGGGGACAACAGUUGGAAACGACUGCUAAUACCGAAUGAUAUGAACAUGUAUUGAUGUGUUUAUUAAAAGGAGCCUUUAAAGCUUCGCGAAAAGAUGGGCCUGCGGCGUAUUAGCUAGUUGGUGGGGUAAUGGCCUACCAAGGCGACGAUACGUAGCCGAACUGAGAGGUUGAUCGGCCACACUGGGACUGAGACACGGCCCAGACUCCUACGGGAGACAGCAGUUAGGAAUAUUCGGCAAUGGGGGAAACCCUGACCGAGCAAUGCCGCGUGAAUGAUGAAGGCCCUAUGGGUUGUAAAAUUCUGUGGAUAGGGAAGAACAGUUAGAGUAGGAAAUGCCUCUAACCUGACGUGUACCUAUCUAGAAAGCUCCGGCUAACUACGUGCCAGCAGCCGCGGUAAU
rnacentral:rRNA from 1 species